rnacentral:sRNA from 1 species
AUUGGCUGGGCAGGCUGCCACUCCCAGGGCAGCAGGGUAAGUGGUGCUUAUCACGUGCCCGGAAUCACCUGACUAGCAGCGGCUGAAGUGGGGGCGGCGCGGGGGGGAGGAGUCACGAGGAGAUGGCAGGGCCGCGCCUCUCGUCGGUCUCCGGGCUUUCGCCCUGGGGGCAGCCCGCACGCACCUCUGCCUUCCCUGCGCGUGCUGGGCUGCUCCCCGCCUCCUUCCGGGCUCCGAGUGUACCGCAGGGAAGAUGCUUCUAGGCGUCUGGAUGAAGCAGCUUCAGUGCAGCGGGAACUGAACUGAUGGCUUACAUUUCCUGUUCCACUCAGCAUCGUGUACACGCUCUUCAUUCAAGUCCUUGACAGGAAGAAAUGUUGGAAGAGGGGUUCAGUGGUCCUAGAGAGGACCCGAACUUGGUGGCUAACCAUGCCCAGUGACCUCAAAAUCUUUGUUUCUAAGAUA